GCAAGUCGAACGCUUUUGGGGCUUCGGCCCCAAGGGAGUGGCGCACGGGUGAGUAGCGCGUGGGAACCUGCCCUGUUGUGGGGGAUAACCGAGGGAAACUUCGGCUAAUACCGCAUGCGCCCCGGUGAUGAGCCGGGGGAAAGAUUUAUCGCAGCAGGAGGGGCCCGCGUCGGAUUAGCUGGUUGGUGGGGUAACGGCCCACCAAGGCGAUGAUCCGUAGCUGGUCUGAGAGGAUGAUCAGCCACACUGGGACUGAGACACGGCCCAGACUCCUACGGGAGGCAGCAGUAGGGAAUACUGGACAAUGGGCGCAAGCCUGAUCCAGCAAUGCCGCGUGAGUGAUGAAGGCCUUCGGGUUGUAAAGCUCUUUCGCCCGCGACGAUNAUGACGGUAGCGGGAGAAGAAGCCCCGGCUAACUUCGUGCCAGCAGCCGCGGUAAUACGAAGGGGGCGAGCGUUGUUCGGAUUUACUGGGCGUAAAGGGCGCGUANGCGGCCCUUCAAGUCAGGCGUGAAAGCCCCGGGCUC
rnacentral:rRNA from 1 species